rnacentral:tRNA from 1 species
GGCAGGAUGGCGGAGUGGACAAACGCACCAGGCUGUAAACUUGGCGCCCUAGGGCUACGGGGGUUCGAAUCCCUCUCCUGCCACCA